GACGAACGCUGGCGGCGUGCUUAACACAUGCAAGUCGAACGGACAGGCCCUGCUUUUGUGGCGUUCUCGUGUGGCGAACGGGUGAGUAACACGUGAGUAACCUGCCCUUGUCUUUGGGAUAACUUCACGAAACUGGGGCUAUUACCCGAUAUGAUCUUCUGCUCCAUGUUGUGGGUUGGAAAGUUUCGGCGGUUGUGGAUCGUCUCGCUGGUUAUCGGCUUGUUGGUGUGGUAGUGACUUACCAAGGGUUUGACGGGUAGCCGACCUGAGAGGGUGGACGGGCACAAUGGGACUAAGAGACGGAGCAGAAUGCAACGGGAGGCAGCAGGGGGGAAUAUUGCACAAUAGGCGGAAGCGUGAUGCAGAAACGCCGCGAGCGGGAUGACGGCCUACGGGUUAUAAACAGAUGUGGCAUGUGAAGAAGAGUGAGUGGCGGUAAUGAGUAAAGAAGCAACGGCUAACUACGUG
rnacentral:rRNA from 1 species